GGGUUGUGAGGUUAAGCGACUAAGCGUACACGGUGGAUGCCCUGGCAGUCAGAGGCGAUGAAGGACGUGCUAAUCUGCGAUAAGCGCCGGUAAGGUGAUAUGAACCGUUAUAACCGGCGAUUUCCGAAUGGGGAAACCCAGUGUGACUCGUCACACUAUCAUUAACUGAAUCCAUAGGUUAAUGAGGCGAACCGGGGGAACUGAAACAUCUAAGUACCCCGAGGAAAAGAAAUCAACCGAGAUUCCCCCAGUAGCGGCGAGCGAACGGGGAGGAGCCCAGAGCCUGAAUCAGCAUGUGUGUUAGUGGAAGCGUCUGGAAAGGCGCGCGAUACAGGGUGACAGCCCCGUACACAAAAGCGCAUGUGCUGUGAGCUCGAUGAGUAGGGCGGGACACGUGGUAUCCUGUCUGAAUAUGGGGGGACCAUCCUCCAAGGCUAAAUACUCCUGACUGACCGAUAGUGAACCAGUACCGUGAGGGAAAGGCGAAAAGAACCCCGGCGAGGGGAGUGAAAAAGAACCUGAAACCGUGUACGUACAAGCAGUGGGAGCACCCUUUGGGGUGUGACUGCGUACCUUUUGUAUAAUGGGUCAGCGACUUAUAUUCUGUAGCAAGGUUAACCGUAUAGGGGAGCCGGAGGGAAACCGAGUCUUAAUUGGGCGUUAAGUUGCAGGGUAUAGACCCG
rnacentral:rRNA from 1 species